UCCGUAGGUGGAUCAAUCAGUCAGAGGUGAAAUCCUGCAGCUUAACUGUAGAACUGCCUUUGAUACUGUUGAUCUUGAGUCAUUAUGAAGUAGAUAGAAUAUGUAGUGUAGCGGUGAAAUGCAUAGAUAUUACAUAGAAUACCGAUUGCGAAGGCAGAUCACUAAUAAUGUACUGACACUGAGGGACGAAAGCGUGGGGGACUAACAGGAUUAGAUACCCUGGUAGUCC
rnacentral:rRNA from 1 species